UACGAAGGGUGCAAGCGUUAAUCGGAAUUACUGGGCGUAAAGGGUGCGUAGGCGGUUCGUUAAGUCUGUUGUGAAAUCCCCGGGCUCAACCUGGGAAUGGCAAUGGAUACUGGCGGGCUAGAGUGUGUCAGAGGAUGGUGGAAUUCCCGGUGUAGCAGUGAAAUGCGUAGAUAUCGGGAGGAACACCGGUGGCGAAGGCGGCCUUCUGGACCAGUACUGACGCUCAUGCACGAAAGCGUGGGGAGCAAACAGG
rnacentral:rRNA from 1 species